ACUUCCUCCACAGCUCACCCACUCCUCCCUCGCCUCAUUUGCGCACCGGAGUUCCUCAAUCUCGCCAUUCUUCUUGGACCACCGUAGCCCUCGCCGGAGUUCAUCUUGCUUCCGGCCGUCCUAGCCACUCCCUCCCCGUUCCGCCACCUCCACCCUCUUCCCCUUGUCCCUGAGGACCGCCCCACCCCCUCUCCCUCCCCGGGAACGUCCCGCAUCACCGGAGAGCCCCACCAUUGCCCGCCUCCUGUCAUCCUCCUGUCGCCAUCGCUCACCAUUGUACCAGGCCACCCCGGCGCCGGCUGACCUCGGGAACGGGUGCGGUAUGGCGCGGCGAACCCGCCGGUGCGCUCGGCCGGGCUGGAGCUGGCCUGAGCCGGCCGGCCGCCUCGUCGGUCUUCCCACCCCUGCCCUCCUCUGCCUCGUGCGAGGACGGAGGGAGGAAGAAGAUAACGACGUCGUUCAGCCCCUCCCCUGCCCCUGGGCCCACGCGCUAGUAUCACACCCCUCCAUCGCACGUGGGACCCGUUGGUGAUCAAAAUAUUCAUAGAUUCGUCCCUCCUGUUCAUCACCUCGUAUCUCCGCGGCCGUAACUCCGAUCGAGCCCCCUUCGAGAGAGAAGAACAUCCAGCCUUUCGUUCCACGGUUUCUCCGCACUUCUCCCCGGAGUCUCCGUCACCCCCAGGCAAGCCAAAACAACCACUUGAAUGAUAGACAUGCAGUAGCCAUGGUUUCUACUUGAAUAUUUAAUAAAAGUUUGCCCGUUAUCUACCUGCCUGUUUGCUACUACUGUCGUUGUUUCGGUUAUGCUCAUGUAUUCAUGUUCACCUUCAUGCUAUGUUUCGAUGCAUCUUGUUAUCUUGUACCUCUUGCUAGUAUUAUUGUUACAUGUCAUGCUUGGUAGUAGUACAUGCUGGUAGUAGUGAUGUUCCUUCUGGUGCAUGCUUAUAGUCUGUUAUCUAGUACCAUCGCAAGGCAUGUUCCUUUGCAUCUAGUUGGUUACAUGCUUACUUGGUAGCAUUCUUGUAUGUUCUUGCUUGGUAUUUAUUGUUUUUGAUGCUAGUGGUCAUGCUAUGCUCAUGUGUAUUGUUAUACUUAUGCUCGUCAGUAUGCCAUGCUCGUUUGGUUAAAUGCUUCAUUGUUGAUCUGCUUGAUGAUUAUGUUGCACAUCCAUGCUUAUGUUGAUAUCAUGCUCAUGCAUUAUAGUUGCAUCAUGUUAUGGCUUGGCAUACUGCAUUCAAGUUUAACUGGAUAAUAAUGAACUUGAACAACUGUUGGCUAGAAAAAUAGAGAAGGCUGGGAUUCGAUCCAGGGCCUCCUCGGUGGAGGUGCACAGCGACGACCAGCUGGGCUGAGAUGUGAAGCUUACUCUGGUGAACUCAGUGAUUUCCUCUCUUGCAAUCUAUGCGAUGUGUUCCAUCAGGCUGCCGCCGAAAAUACUAGAUCACCUGGAUAAACUGAGGCGGUAUUGCCUUUGGGCAAAGAACACUGACGAUGGAUUGAAAGUUGUCUCCCUGGCAGCCUGGGAGUUAGUUUGCAGGCCCAAGCACAAGGGAGGGCUCGGGUGCUUGACUUGAGGAUCCAAAACCAGGGCCUACUGCUCAAACAGCUGCACAAAUUUUAUAACCGCAUGGACAUUCCAUGGGUUAAUCUUGUUUGGGACACCUACUAUGAAGGCUCGAUCCCGCAUGCUUCUACUCCAUGUGGAUCGUUCUGGUGGAAGACGUACUGAAUCUGGCACCAACAUACAGAGCAAUCACUUCAGUUGAGCUUGGGGAUGGGAGUUCAACACUGUUCUAGAAGGAUGCCUGGCAUGAUGAUAUACUUGCUGAUAGUCAUCCCCGUCUCUUCUCCUUCGCUAAGCACGAAGACAUCUCUGUCAAAUCACUCCUGACAUCGUCUACGCUUGGCCAAAAUUUCCAUCUGCCACUUUCGAUGCAAGCUAGAGAAGAGCUCGAUGACUUACAAACAUCCCUGGCUUCGGUGGAGCCCACGGAGGUUAACGAUGCCUGGCGGCUGAUUUGGGGUGCGGAGGAGCUCGCCUCCAGCAAAUACUAUCUGCACUGUUUUCGGGACAUGGAAGCGGACGAUGCGUUCACGUGGAUCUGGAAAUCUAAGUGCACCAACAAAUGGAAGGUUUUUGCGUGGCUACUUCUUGCGGAUAGGCUGAACACUCGGGGACUGCUCAAGAGGAAGCAGAUGAAGCUAAGGGAUGACAACUAUGCGUGCCUUCUGUGUCACAAUCCUCCAGAGGAAACGGUUGAACAUCUAUUCUUUCACUGUGAAUUUAGUCAAACAUGUUGGGGGAAGUUGGGGA